CGUUAUAACCGGCGAUUUCCGAAUGGGGAAACCCAGUGUGAUUCGUCACACUAUCAUUAACUGAAUCCAUAGGUUAAUGAGGCGAACCGGGGGAACUGAAACAUCUAAGUACCCCGAGGAAAAGAAAUCAACCGAGAUUCCCCCAGUAGCGGCGAGCGAACGGGGAGCAGCCCAGAGCCUGAAUCAGUGUGUGUGUUAGUGGAAGCGUCUGGAAAGGCGCGCGAUACAGGGUGACAGCCCCGUACACAAAAAUGCACAUGCUGUGAGCUCGAUGAGUAGGGCGGGACACGUGGUAUCCUGUCUGAAUAUGGGGGGACCAUCCUCCAAGGCUAAAUACUCCUGACUGACCGAUAGUGAACCAGUACCGUGAGGGAAAGGCGAAAAGAACCCCGGCGAGGGGAGUGAAAAAGAACCUGAAACCGUGUACGU
rnacentral:rRNA from 1 species